rnacentral:rRNA from 1 species
CGACCGGCGCACGGGUGCGUAACGCGUAUGCAAUCUGCCUUAUACAGAAGAAUAGCCCUGAGAAAUUAGGAUUAAUGCUUCAUGGUAAUAUGAUGUGGCAUCACAUUAUAUUUAAAACUCCGGUGGUAUAAGAUGGGCAUGCGUAUGAUUAGCUAGAUGGUGAGGUAACGGCUCACCAUGGCGACGAUCAUUAGGGGUCCUGAGAGGGUGAUCCCCCACACUGGUACUGAGACACGGACCAGACUCCUACGGGAGGCAGCAGUGAGGAAUAUUGGGCAAUGGAGGCAACUCUGACCCAGCCAUACCGCGUGAAGGACGACGGCCCUAUGGGUUGUAAACUUCUUUUAUAUGGGAGGAAUAAGGUCUACGAGUAGACUGAUGACAGUACCAUAUGAAUAAGCACCGGCUAACUCCGUGCCAGCAGCCGCGGUAAUACGGAGGGUGCAAGCGUUAUCCGGAUUUAUUGGGUUUAAAGGGUCCGUAGGCGGACUGGUAAGUCAGUGGUGAAAUCCUAUCGCUUAACGAUAGAACUGCCAUUGAAACUGCUAGUCUUGAAUUAUUUUGAAGUUGGCGGAAUGAGUAGUGUAGCGGUGAAAUGCAUAGAUAUUACUCAGAACACCGAUUGCGAAGGCAGCUGAACUAAGAAUAUACUUGACGCUGAUGGGACGAAAGCGUAGGUAGCGAACAGGAUUAGAUACCCUGGUAGUCUAACGCAGUAAAGCGAUGGAUACUCGUUGUCGGGAAAAUUGAGACUCGGUGGCUAAGCGAAAGUGAUAAGUAUCCCACCUGGGGAGUACGAUCCGACAAGAUUGAAACUCAAAGGAAUUGACGGGGGCCCGCACAAGCGGUGGAGCAUGCGGUUUAAUUCGAUGAUACGCGAGGAACCUUACCUGGGCUUAAAUGUA